rnacentral:rRNA from 1 species
AUUGAACGCUGGCGGCAGGCUUAACACAUGCAAGUCGAGCGGAGAUGAGGUGCUUGCACCUUAUCUUAGCGGCGGACGGGUGAGUAAUGCUUAGGAAUCUGCCUAUUAGUGGGGGACAACAUUCCGAAAGGAAUGCUAAUACCGCAUACGCCCUACGGGGGAAAGCAGGGGAUCUUCGGACCUUGCGCUAAUAGAUGAGCCUAAGUCGGAUUAGCUAGUUGGUGGGGUAAAGGCCUACCAAGGCGACGAUCUGUAGCGGGUCUGAGAGGAGGAUCCGCCACACUGGGACUGAUACACGGCCCAGACUCCUACGGGAGGCAGCAGUGGGGAAUAUUGGACAAUGGGCGGAAGCCUGAUCCAGCCAUGCCGCGUGUGUGAAGAAGGCCUUUUGGUUGUAAAGCACUUUAAGCGAGGAGGAGGCUACCUGGAUUAAUACUCUAGGAUAGUGGGCGUUACUCGCAGAAUAAGCACCGGCUAACUCUGUGCCAGCCGCCGCUGUAACAC